UACGGGGGGGGCAAGCGUUGUUCGGAAUUACUGGGCGUAAAGGGCGCGUAGGCGGCCUACUAAGUCGGACGUGAAAUCCCUCGGCUCAACCGGGGAACUGCGUCCGAUACUGGUGGGCUUGAAUCCGGGAGAGGGGUGUGGAAUUCCAGGUGUAGCGGUGAAAUGCGUAGAUAUCUGGAGGAACACCGGUGGCGAAGGCGGCAUCCUGGACCGGUAUUGACGCUGAUGCGCGAAAGCCAGGGGAGCAAACGGG
rnacentral:rRNA from 1 species